GGGUGCUGUACUGGAGUCUGGCACCCAGCCCCAACCAACGGGAAUGAAUUGUGUGGUCCCGUUGUUUAAUCCCGUGUUCUGCAGAUUCACGACGGAGAAAGAGUUCCCUUUGUUCUGAAAGGAAGAAGAACAAACACAGCUAAGUCAAUAUUCGUCACGAUGGUGACGGGGUACCAUGUGCUACAGAUGGAGGCUUCUGAGUGUGCAGAAAAACCCUUGAGGCACUCGCUCUCAUGUUUUGGGAUCUGGCUUGCCUUUCUUACACUCGAUGUGGAGAAGGAAGAUGGGAGUUGAGAAGGAAGCAUGAUGUCAUAAAAAGAAGAGAGGCGAUGGGGCGUAUGUCUACAAGGGUGCUUCAACUUGAGCACAACAUACCAUAAAUGAAAUGAAAGAAAGACAGAGGCCAUCUGGCGGAUGAUAGCUUCAACUCCAUGAUAUUCUUGUGGGGGUGAUAUUUGUUUGUUUUCGUCUGUUGCCUCCAGAGUAACUACUUUUCAAAUACAUAGUUCCCAUGUCUUUAGUAGAAGACCUCUGAAGGAACAUCACUUCUGAGGACAGUGUGUCUGUCGCUGGAGGAAAACUCAACAAGCUCACUCACUCUUCCAGUCCAGGCUGUGCUUCUGGUUCUCAGGCAGAUGGAUGGGUACGCUAAAACAGAAGGCUCUUCACCAUUAACAGAACUGGGACCAGGGUUUCCAAAUGCUGUCUGAAAAGAAAUGGAUAUUCUGACUACAAUAAAAAAAGAACUUUAUAGACACAAAUUAAUAAGCAACAAAAACAACAACAUAAACAGAGCAUGCUCGUGUGGAGGGGAGAAGUGGAGAGAAGGGAGCUGAAAUCCAUUCCUGUGGUGCCCCAGGUUCUUGCACAGGUAGAUGGACAGUUUUGUGCCCUGUUUUGUUUCUGACAGGGAUGUCAGAAAAUACAGGCUUACAGCUGAGGACAGGGCUCUGCUCUCCCCACCCUAAUGCCUCUGAUGUUCCAAGUAGGAGCUACAGACCUCUUAGCAAAAUCCCCCAGAGCACAAACCAUGAUUCGAUGAAUGGCAAGAGCUAAGAAGCAAAGGAAGGAGUCAUCGCUAAAGGGCAGGGACCCAAGUGUGCAGAUGAGGGCAGCAGAGUAGGACAUGGCAAUGGGCACCUGCUUCAGCCCUGCACAUCGUUCACUGACAGAAACUGCCUUCUGCUUGCCGAGCCUCACUAGGAUAACACUGCAGGUGCUUAGCUACAAAGGGAAGAUCAGUCUGCAUGGCCAUUAGCCGAUAGGUGGACAAAGAGAUGGAGCAUAGCCGCACAACAGAAUAUGGCUCAGCAAUAAAAGGGAGUGGAACACUGAAUCAGAUGACAACAUGGGGGGUGUCUUUUGGAAUUACGAGUGCAGAGUCAUGAUGCCAGUCAUGAAGGAAGGCCACAUAUUCCUCUCACUUGAAGCAUUCAGAAGUAGCAAAUCAAGAGACAUCAGGGUCCAUCAGAUGGAGUCUCAGAACCUCACUAGGAAUGAAGUAGAAGAAAAAAAGGAUGUCUUGUUUACAAUAUGCAGUGGUCAAACUGAGUGAAGCCAUCCUUCCACACAGACUGAAGGAGAACCUGGGCAGGCGGAAAGAAAAAGAGUGUUCUGUAGAAGACACUCCCCACCAGGGGCCAACUCUUGUCUGUUUAGACAAACUAGGAAUUUCAAUGUGUCUAGUGCUGCUUGGUGGGCUUUAUGUAAAUGAGGAUAUAAUCACACCUAUUUCCCAUUGGUUGGUGUUUUGUCUGUAGGUUAUGGCUCAUUGGGCAGACUGGGUGCAGAAGGGGACACCCAGUCACUGUUUAUCUUGGCAAUGAAACAGAAGUACAACCUACAGUGCAGCAGAGUUCAAUUUUGCUUCCUCAAGGAGCAUACAGUCUGUGACUUCAGCAAUAUCAAAGGACCACCAGGUUCCAUUCUGAUCUAAGCUCAGUGAGCAUCUCAGGGUUCACAUGAGUAGGAACUGUGAGUGCUGAGUGAUGGCUGAGUCACGCAGGGUUUCCACUGGGGAGUGUCCAGAAUGUUUUACAAUGUGAGUAUGGUGAGUGUUGCAAAAGGCUGGGGGUACAGUCAGUGCACUGAACUGCAUGUUUAAAAUGAGUACAUUCUGUGGUGUGUGGAAUGUAAUUCAAGGAAGCUGUUCAAGGGAGGAGGGCAGGGAGCACAAACUGACAGGGCUGUUGUUACACAGCCAGAGAGAGUUCUGUGCAAGACAAAUGAAGUUAUGGGCUCGUCAGCGUAACACAUCGGAGGCUGUUCUUCUUGUUGCUACCAGAAUCCAAACCCCACUGAAGUCUGGCGAAUGUGGAUGGCUACAGUUGUGCCAGCCACAGUGGGCUGCAAGGGAAAUAAAUUCACUGUGGAAUUCCUAGCCUAGAAGGACAGAGACAAGCAUAUGUGCGAACCACAAAUUGGAAUAACAGUACAUUUUGUUAAAAACUUCGAAGUGCAAGGAAUGUCCAGACACCUCCAGGUACCCCCACUGCAGAGCAGAGACCUCACAUGUCAACACUUCUUGGUUUUUAUUCAGUCAGAAUCAGGAAGUCUGUGAAAGGUUUUCAAAAAGAAGGUGAUAAAGUCCUUCACUGAUCCCUGUGCUGGGCUCUGUUGCAUUCCAACACAAAGCUGCAAAUUCAGGCCCAGGGGAUGGUGACUUAGUAAAGAUCCAGAGCCAGUAGAAACACCUUCCUCUGUGGGCUCUUUGCAAGUUCAAAGUUUCCUAUAAUUCUUCAAGCAUCCAGAAAGAUUCUUGAUUGUAUAAAUAAUGUGGAAUCUCUCAAACGCUCGCAGUGGGUUCAGCACCUGCGGAUCACUGCAGAAGUACAAUAUUCAGGGCAACUCACAUCGUUGUUAGCCCAAAAGGAGCCAGGGAAGACAGGAAUGGUAAGGACUAGGGAGGUGAUGCAAAUUUAACCUCUUACAGGGAUGGGAGAGAUGAAAACACCAGCCUCAGAAGGAGCCAGGGCUCAGCCACAGAGAGCCCUGGAUGCAGAGACAUUGCUUCACUAAUGCUCACAAUUCUAGAGACUCAUCUAAAAAAAAAAUCACAAUAGUAUCCCCACUUUACAGAGAAUAGAAGUAAAGAAUUUGUUUUGAAAAAGAUCAAUUAAUAAAUGUUCAAGAGUAAAUUCAAAUACAA